AAUGAGCCUGCGAGUUGUGGUGUCUGGCAAGGUUAAGCAAACGCGAAGCCGUAGCGAAAGCGAGUCUGAAUAGGGCGCUUAGUCAGAUGCUGCAGACCCGAAACGAAGUGAUCUAUCCAUGAGCAAGUUGAAGCUAGUGUAAGAACUAGUGGAGGACUGAACCCAUAGGCGUUGAAAAGCCCCGGGAUGACUUGUGGAUAGGGGUGAAAGGCCAAUCAAACUUCGUGAUAGCUGGUUCUCUCCGAAAUAUAUUUAGGUAUAGCGUUGUGUCGUAAUAUAAGGGGGUAGAGCACUGAAUGGGCUAGGGCAUACACCAAUGUACCAAACCCUAUCAAACUCCGAAUACCUUAUAUGUAAUCACAGCAGUCAGGCGGCGAGUGAUAAAAUCCGUCGUCAAGAGGGAAACAACCCAGACUACCAGCUAAGGUCCCUAAAUCUUACUUAAGUGGAAAACGAUGUGAAGUUACUUAAACAACCAGGAGGUUGGCUUAGAAGCAGCCAUCCUUUAAAGAAAGCGUAAUAGCUCACUGGUCUAGUGAUUUUGCGCGGAAAAUAUAACGGGGCUAAAGUAAGUACCGAAGCUGUAGACUUAGUUUACUAAGUGGUAGGAGAGCGUUCUAUUUGCGUCGAAGGUAUACCGGUAAGGAGUGCUGGAGCGAAUAGAAGUGAGCAUGCAGGCAUGAGUAGCGAUAAUUAAUGCGAGAAUCAUUAACGCCGUAAACCCAAGGUUUCCUACGCGAUGCUCGUCAUCGUAGGGUUAGUCGGGUCCUAAGUCGAGUCCGAAAGGGGUAGACGAUGGCAAAUUGGUUAAUAUUCCAAUACCAACAUUAGUGUGCGAUGGAAGGACGCUUAGGGCUAAGGGGGCUAGCGGAUGGAAGUGCUAGUCUAAGGUUGUAGGAGGUUAUACAGGCAAAUCCGUAUAACAAUACUCCGAGAACUGAAAGGCUUUUUGAAGUCUUCGGAUGGAUAGAAGAACCCCUGAUGCCGUCGAGCCAAGAAAAGUUUCUAAGUUUAGCUAAUGUUGCCCGUACCGUAAACCGACACAGGUGGGUGGGAUGAGUAUUCUAAGGCGCGUGGAAGAACUCUCUUUAAGGAACUCUGCAAAAUAGCACCGUAUCUUCGGUAUAAGGUGUGGUUAGCUUCGUACUAGGAUUUACUCCGAAAGCGAAGAAACUUACAACAAAGAGUCCCUCCCGACUGUUUACCAAAAACACAGCACUCUGCUAACUCGUAAGAGGAUGUAUAGGGUGUGACGCCUGCCCGGUGCUCGAAGGUUAAUUGAUGGGGUUAGCAUUAGCGAAGCUCUUGAUCGAAGCCCGAGUAAACGGCGGCCGUAACUAUAACGGUCCUAAGGUAGCGAAAUUCCUUGUCGGUUAAAUACCGACCUGCAUGAAUGGCGUAACGAGAUGGGAGCUGUCUCAAAGAGGGAUCCAGUGAAAUUGUAGUGGAGGUGAAAAUUCCUCCUACCCGCGGCAAGACGGAAAGACCCCGUGGACCUUUACUACAGCUUGACACUGCUACUUGGAUAAGAAUGUGCAGGAUAGGUGGGAGGCUUUGAGUAUAUGACGCCAGUUGUAUAUGAGCCAUUGUUGAGAUACCACUCUUUCUUAUUUGGGUAGCUAACCAGCUUGAGUUAUCCUCAAGUGGGACAAUGUCUGGUGGGUAGUUUGACUGGGGCGGUCGCCUCCCAAAUAAUAACGGAGGCUUACAAAGGUUGGCUCAGAACGGUUGGAAAUCGUUCGUAGAGUAUAAAGGUAUAAGCCAGCUUAACUGCAAGACAUACAAGUCAAGCAGAGACGAAAGUCGGUCUUAGUGAUCCGGUGGUUCUGUGUGGAAGGGCCAUCGCUCAAAGGAUAAAAGGUACCCCGGGGAUAACAGGCUGAUCUCCCCCAAGAGCUCACAUCGACGGGGAGGUUUGGCACCUCGAUGUCGGCUCAUCGCAUCCUGGGGCUGGAGCAGGUCCCAAGGGUAUGGCUGUUCGCCAUUUAAAGCGGUACGCGAGCUGGGUUCAGAACGUCGUGAGACAGUUCGGUCCCUAUCUGCCGUGGGCGUAAGAAGAUUGAAGAGAUUUGACCCUAGUACGAGAGGACCGGGUUGAACAAACCACUGGUGUAGCUGUUGUUCUGCCAAGAGCAUCGCAGCGUAGCUAAGUUUGGAAAGGAUAAACGCUGAAAGCAUCUAAGCGUGAAGCCAACUCUAAGAUGAAUCUUCUCUAAGCUCUCUAGAAGACUACUAGUUUGAUAGGCUGGGUGUGUAAUGGAUGAAAGUCCUUUAGCUGACCAGUACUAAUAGAGCGUUUGGCUUAUCUUUAAUAAAGCAU
rnacentral:rRNA from 1 species